rnacentral:rRNA from 1 species
UACGUAGGUGGCAAGCGUUGUCCGGAUUUAUUGGGUUUAAAGGGUGCGUAGGUGGUCUAUUAAGUCAGUGCUGAAAUAUCCCGGCUUAACCGGGAGGGUGGCAUUGAUACUGAUGGACUUGAGUAAAGUUGAGGUGGGCGGAAUUGACGGUGUAGCGGUGAAAUGCUUAGAUAUCGCCAAGAACACCUAUUGCGAAGGCAGCUCACUAAGCUUUAACUGACACUGAGGCACGAAAGUGUGGGGAUCAAACAGG